AGUGAACGCUGGCGGUAGGCCUAACACAUGCAAGUCGAACGGCAGCACAGUAAGAGCUUGCUCUUACGGGUGGCGAGUGGCGGACGGGUGAGGAAUACAUCGGAAUCUACUUUUUCGUGGGGGAUAACAUAGGGAAACUUACGCUAAUACCGCAUACGACCUACGGGUGAAAGCAGGGGAUCUUCGGACCUUGCGCGAUUGAAUGAGCCGAUGUCGGAUUAGCUAGUUGGCGGGGUAAAGGCCCACCAAGGCGGCGAUCCGUAGCUGGUCUGAGAGGAUGAUCAGCCACACUGGAACUGAGACACGGUCCAGACUCCUACGGGAGGCAGCAGUGGGGAAUAUUGGACAAUGGGCGCAAGCCUGAUCCAGCCAUACCGCGUGGGUGAAGAAGGCCUUCGGGUUGUAAAGCCCUUUUGUUGGGAAAGAAAAGCAGCAGGUUAAUACCCCGCUGUUCUGACGGUACCCAAAGAAUAAGCACCGGCUAACUUCGUG
rnacentral:rRNA from 1 species